rnacentral:rRNA from 1 species
ACAUGCAAGUCGAACGGUAACAGAGAGCAGCUUGCUGCUCUGCUGACGAGUGGCGGACGGGUGAGUAAUGUCUGGGGAUCUGCCCGAUGGAGGGGGAUAACCACUGGAAACGGUGGCUAAUACCGCAUAACGUCGCAAGACCAAAGUGGGGGACCUUCGGGCCUCACACCAUCGGAUGAACCCAGAUGGGAUUAGCUAGUAGGUGGGGUAACGGCUCACCUAGGCGACGAUCCCUAGCUGGUCUGAGAGGAUGACCAGCCACACUGGAACUGAGACACGGUCCAGACUCCUACGGGAGGCAGCAGUGGGGAAUAUUGCACAAUGGGCGCAAGCCUGAUGCAGCCAUGCCGCGUGUAUGAAGAAGGCCUUCGGGUUGUAAAGUACUUUCAGCGGGGAGGAAGGGAGUGAGGUUAAUAACCUUAUUCAUUGACGUUACCCGCAGAAGAAGCACCGGCUAACUCCGUGCCAGCAGCCGCGGUAAUACGGAGGGUGCAAGCGUUAAUCGGAAUUACUGGGCGUAAAGCGCACGCAGGCGGUCUGUCAAGUCGGAUGUGAAAUCCCCGGGCUCAACCCGGGAACUGCAUUCGAAACUGGCAGGCUAGAGUCUCGUAGAGGGGGGUAGAAUUCCAGGUGUAGCGGUGAAAUGCGUAGAGAUCUGGAGGAAUACCGGUGGCGAAGGCGGCCCCCUGGACGAAGACUGACGCUCAGGUGCGAAAGCGUGGGGAGCAAACAGGAUUAGAUACCCUGGUAGUCCACGCCGUAAACGAUGUCGACUUGGAGGCUGUGAGCUUGACUCGUGGCUUCCGGAGCUAACGCGUUAAGUCGACCGCCUGGGGAGUACGGCCGCAAGGUUAAAACUCAAAUGAAUUGACGGGGGCCCGCACAAGCGGUGGAGCAUGUGGUUUAAUUCGAUGCAACGCGAAGAACCUUACCUGGCCUUGACAUCCACGGAAUUCUGCAGAGAUGCGGAAGUGCCUUCGGGAACCGUGAGACAGGUGCUGCAUGGCUGUCGUCAGCUCGUGUUGUGAAAUGUUGGGUUAAGUCCCGCAACGAGCGCAACCCUUAUCCUUUGUUGCCAGCGGUUCGGCCGGGAACUCAAAGGAGACUGCC